UGCACCGUAGGUGUCUCGUCUUUCUUUAGUGCCUCAAUCUUGCGAUGUACCUCUAUCUUGCAAUGGACCAAGAUACCACUGAUGUCAUCAUAUAAUGAGUCUUACAUAAUUCAAGACAAAGGCAUCAAGACAACACUAAGACUAAAAA